rnacentral:tRNA from 1 species
GGGGAGAGCUUAGUGGUAGAGCUCUUGCUUAGCACGUGUGAGGCACUGGGUUCAAUCCUCAGAACCACA